GUGAGGAAUAUUGGACAAUGGGCGCAAGCCUGAUCCAGCCAUGCCGCGUGCAGGAAGACGCAUCUAUGGUGUGUAAACUGCUUUUGUACGGGAAGAAACACUCCCUCGUGAGGGAGCUUGACGGUACCGUAAGAAUAAGGAUCGGCUAACUCCGUGCCAGCAGCCGCGGUAAUACGGAGGUUCCAAGCGUUAUCCGGAAUCAUUGGGUUUAAAGGGUCCGUAGGCGGUUUAAUAAGUCAGUGGUGAAAGCCCAUCGCUCAACGAUGGAACGGCCAUUGAUACUGUUAGACUUGAAUUACAAGGAAGUAACUAGAAUAUGUAGUGUAGCGGUGAAAUGCUUAGAUAUUACAUGGAAUACCAAUUGCGAAGGCAGGUUACUACUUGUGGAUUGACGCUGAUGGACGAAAGCGUGGGGAGCGAACAGGAUUAGAUACCCUUGUAGUCC
rnacentral:rRNA from 1 species